ACAGGGACAGAUCCCAGGUCUAAACCCUAGCCAAAACCCCUUGUGUUAGAGGAGCUCACCCUUUACUGCUGAUGAAAUCUCCAUGAUGAAGUGCUUUCCUGGUGACACCCAGAGAUCGUUUGCUAUGUGAAUGCUUUUCUUGCUCAAAUUUCAACAAACAUGAUUGCCAAAAAAGAAAAAAAAAAGAAGAGAAAAGAGAACAGAAAAGAAGAAAAGAAAAGAAAGAAAGGAGAAGAGAGAGAAAGAGAGAAGAGAAGAGAAGAGAAAAGAAGAAAAGAAAAGAAAAGACCAGACCAGACCCAUAGAAUCCUAUGGGAUCUGCUGACAUGUUUGUCUGAACUUCGUCUUCCAUAUCACUGUCAAGAUAGUUUUUCUAACUCACCACUCCAAAAUCUAUGAAAAGCCUCCAUAAGCCCCUAGUUGCCCUCCAAAUUAUAACUGCAUUUGGUUCACACUUUUCCCUCCUCCUGAAGUGACUUUCCUUCUUAUUCCGCUUUUAAAAACUUUAUCACCUGCAAAAUUCACUUCAAAAAGAGCUCCCUCCAUGAAGGUUUAAUUACUCUCUUGGCCCUAAAGGAAUGACAUCUCCUGUUUGGCCUGUUCACAUUGCUGCACUGCACUGGUAACUCUUCAACGAAACCCAUUUUUACUCUUACCUCUUAUUGUUACUUAUGUACAGGUCUUAUUGCCUCUCUCAACCUCAACUAAACUAUUUAAGAGAAGUGUACUCAUCUGUUUAUUUCCUGCUGAGUCUAGUCCAAUCUCUUAUAAUUUUUAGACCAUUAAGUACUAAAUCGCUAACACCUGGAAUUUCAAAGACAACAGUGGAAAGGAAAUGAGACUUGGAAUCAAAAGACUUCAGUUUCAAUCUAAAGUCCCUGAAUGUGUAAACUAUUGUGAUUUUUCUUAGCUACAGUCCUCUCACUUAUAAAAUGUUUACUGU
rnacentral:lncRNA from 1 species